AUUUACAAAUAAAACAAAUUGAAUAUGAACAUUAUUUUGACAUUUGGUCUAAUCCAACCAGGUGAGCAAUACAGGCCCCAUGGGCCUCUUGUUUUGAUUAGGGGGUACAGGUUAUGUAUGUUAGCACCUUCCCACAUUGGUUUUAUUAUUAUACUUGAUGGACCAGUAUUGGCUACCUACCAGUCUACAGACAGGGAUCCAUGAUACUACAUGAUCUGUCCCUCAGAGACUAUACCUCGUGUUCAUUGGCUAUAGUAUUGUAACAGAAAAAUGCAUCUCUCUGUUAGCACGUACACAUCUGGUAGGCCCAGAAUAAAGUAUCUCUAUUGGUACGUACAUAUCUGGUAGGCCCAGAAUAAAGUAUCUCUAUUGGUACGUACACAUCUGGUAGGCCCAGAAUAAAGUAUCUCUAUUGGUACGUACAUAUCUGGUAGGCCCAGAAUAAAGUAUCUCUAUUGGUACGUACACAUCUGGUAGGCCCAGGAUAAAGUAUCUCUAUUGGUACGUACAUAUCUGGUAGGCCCAGAAUAAAGUAUCUCUAUUGGCACGUACAUAUCUGGUAGGCCCAGAAUAAAGUAUCUCUAUUGGUACGUACAUAUCUGGUAGGCCCAGAAUAAAGUAUCUCUAUUGGUACCUACAUAUCUGGUAGGCCCAGAAUAAAGUAUCUCUAUUGGUACGUACACAUCUGGUAGGCCCAGAAUAAAGUAUCUCUAUUGGCACGUACAUAUCUGGUAGGCCCAGAAUAAAGUAUCUAUUGGUACGUACAUAUCUGGUAGGCCCAGAAUAAAGUAUCUAUUGGUACGUACACAUCUGGUAGGCCCAGAAUAAAGUAUGUCUAUUGGUACGUACACAUCUGGUAGGCCCAGAAUAAAGUAUCUCUAUUGGUACGUACAUAUCUGGUAGGCCCAGGAUAAAGUAUCUCUAUUGGUACGUACAUAUCUGGUAGGCCCAGAAUAAAGUAUCUCUCUAUUGGUACGUACAUAUCUGGUAGGCCCAGAAUAAAGUAUCUCUAUUGGUACGUACAUAUCUGGUAGGCCCAGAAUAAAGUAUCUCUAUUGGUACGUACAUAUCUGGUAGGCCCAGGAUAAAGUAUCUCUAUUGGUACGUACAUAUCUGGUAGGCCCAGAAUAAAGUAUCUAUUGGUACGUACAUAUCUGGUAGGCCCAGAAUAAAGUAUCUCUAUUGGUACGUACACAUCUGGUAGGCCCAGAAUAAAGUAUCUCUGUUGGUACGUACAUAUCUGGUAGGCCCAGAAUAAAGUAUCUCUAUGUUGGUACGUACACAUCUGGUAGGCCCAGAAUAAAGUAUCUAUUGGUACGUACACAUCUGGUAGGCCCAGAAUAAAGUAUCUCUCUAUUGGCACGUACAUAUCUGGUAGGCCCAGAAUAAAGUAUCUCUAUUGGUACGUACACAUCUGGUAGGCCCAGGAUAAAGUAUCUCUAUGUUGGUACGUACACAUCUGGUAGGCCCAGAAUAAAGUAUCUCUAUGUUGGUACGUACACAUCUGGUAGGCCCAGAAUAAAGUAUAUCUCUAUUGGUACGUACAUAUCUGGUAGGCCCAGAAUAAAGUAUCUCUCUAUUGGUACGUACACAUCUGGUAGGCCCAGAAUAAAGUAUAUCUCUAUUGGUACGUACAUAUCUGGUAGGCCCAGAAUAAAGUAUCUCUCUAUUGGCACGUACAUAUCUGGUAGGCCCAGGAUAAAGUAUCUCUAUGUUGGUACGUACACAUCUGGUAGGCCCAGAAUAAAGUAUCUCUAUGUUGGUACGUACACAUCUGGUAGGCCCAGAAUAAAGUAUAUCUCUAUUGGUACGUACAUAUCUGGUAGGCCCAGAAUAAAGUAUCUCUCUAUUGGUACGUACAUAUCUGGUAGGCCCAGAAUAAAGUAUCUCUAUUGGUACGUACACAUCUGGUAGGCCCAGAAUAAAGUAUCUCUAUUGGUACGUACACAUCUGGUAGGCCCAGAAUAAAGUAUCUCUAUGUUGGCACGUACAUAUCUGGUAGGCCCAGAAUAAAGUAUCUCUAUUGGUACGUACACAUCUGGUAGGCCCAGAAUAAAGUAUCUCUAUUGGUACGUACACAUCUGGUAGGCCCAGAAUAAAGUAUCUCUAUUGGUACGUACAUAUCCGGUAGGCCCAGAAUAAAGUAUCUCUAUGUUGGCACGUACAUAUCUGGUAGGCCCAGGAUAAAGUAUCUCUAUUGGCACGUACACAUCUGGUAGGCCCAGAAUAAAGUAUAUAUUGGUACGUACAUAUCUGGUAGGCCCAGGAUAAAGUAUCUCUAUUGGUACGUACACAUCUGGUAGGCCCAGAAUAAAGUAUCUCUAUUGGUACGUACAUAUCUGGUAGGCCCAGGAUAAAGUAUCUCUAUUGGUACGUACACAUCUGGUAGGCCCAGAAUAAAGUAUCUCUAUUGGUACGUACAUAUCUGGUAGGCCCAGAAUAAAGUAUCUCUAUUGGUACGUACACAUCUGGUAGGCCCAGAAUAAAGUAUCUCUAUUGGUACGUACAUAUCUGGUAGGCCCAGAAUAAAGUAUCUCUGUUGGUACGUACAUAUCUGGUAGGCCCAGAAUAAAGUAUAUCUCUAUUGGUACGUACAUAUCUGGUAGGCCCAGAAUAAAGUAUCUCUAUGUUGGCACGUACACAUCUGGUAGGCCCAGGAUAAAGUAUCUCUAUUGGUACGUACAUAUCUGGUAGGCCCAGAAUAAAGUAUCUCUGUUGGUACGUACAUAUCUGGUAGGCCCAGAAUAAAGUAUAUCUCUAUUGGUACGUACAUAUCUGGUAGGUCCAGGAUAAAGUAUCUCUAUUGGUACGUACAUAUCUGGUAGGCCCAGGAUAAAGUAUCUCUAUUGGCACGUACACAUCUGGUAGGCCCAGGAUAAAGUAUCUCUAUUGGUACGUACAUAUCUGGUAGGCCCAGAAUAAAGUAUCUCUAUUGGUACGUACACAUCUGGUAGGCCCAGAAUAAAGUAUCUCUAUUGGUACGUACAUAUCUGGUAGGUCCAGGAUAAAGUAUCUCUAUUGGUACGUACAUAUCUGGUAGGCCCAGGAUAAAGUAUCUCUAUUGGCACGUACACAUCUGGUAGGCCCAGGAUAAAGUAUCUCUAUUGGUACGUACAUAUCUGGUAGGCCCAGAAUAAAGUAUCUCUAUUGGUACGUACACAUCUGGUAGGCCCAGAAUAAAGUAUCUCUGUUGGUACGUACAUAUCUGGUAGGCCCAGAAUAAAGUAUCUCUAUUGGUACGUACACAUCUGGUAGGCCCAGAAUAAAGUAUCUCUAUGUUGGCACGUACAUAUCUGGUAGGCCCAGAAUAAAGUAUCUCUAUUGGUACGUACAUAUCUGGUAGGCCCAGAAUAAAGUAUCUCUAUUGGUACGUACACAUCUGGUAGGCCCAGAAUAAAGUAUCUCUAUUGGUACGUACACAUCUGGUAGGCCCAGAAUAAAGUAUCUAUUGGUACGUACAUAUCUGGUAGGCCCAGAAUAAAGUAUCUCUAUUGGUACGUACAUAUCUGGUAGGCCCAGAAUAAAGUAUCUAUUGGUACGUACACAUCUGGUAGGCCCAGAAUAAAGUAUCUAUUGGUACGUACAUAUCUGGUAGGCCCAGAAUAAAGUAUCUAUUGGCACGUACAUAUCUGAUAGGCCCAGAAUAAAGUAUCUAUUGGUACGUACAUAUCUGGUAGGCCCAGAAUAAAGUAUCUAUUGGUACGUACACAUCUGGUAGGCCCAGAAUAAAGUAUCUAUUGGUACGUACAUAUCUGGUAGGCCCAGAAUAAAGUUGUAUGAAGUGAUUCUGAUGUCUUCUUCAUAUUGAGUUAAAAAGUAUGCAGGUGUGAUUUGUUAAAAAAUCAGUUGGGUAUAUUUGAUCUCAAAAUCAGGAGGUUGAUGAAGAUAACUGUCAAAAGUAAUAUGAUGAAAUGUUUUAAUGUGUCUGUUAGCAAAAAAUAAACUUGUUUGAUAGCAAUA